AACUCAAUCUUUUAAAAUCUAGUGUACUCUUGCUAGUUUCUCGAAAUCACCAACCCUGCCUUUAAUGUUUGUUAAUUCAUUUGUCUAUGGACCCUCAUUUAAAACAAGAUGGUUGAUUCCAUUUCGACCUUAAACUUUCUAAUGAAACAAAUAGCCAUCUUUGGGGCAAAUCUGUUGGUCGUUGAGUGCGUCACAAGUGCAAUAUUAUAACUUCAAAUUGUGUUCC